GGUAGAGCUAUCUUGCCUUCCUCCACACAGUACGACGCGCUCUCGUCACCCCCGGUGGCACGGUAUGCCUUCGUUGAUCUGUUCUGACAAUACAGAUGAAUGUCUCUUUCUCCCCCGUCAGUCGAACCACUUUACGGUUCAAUGCUUGUCUGUAUUCCUUUCAGCAGGUAGCUAUUCAGAUAAGUUUCUUUCUGACGUGCUGCUAGCUUCCUUUAUUUAUAUCCAUACCACGUUUGGGUCGGUACUUUGGUCUGGACAUCCCCCACAUGAUUGGAGAUGGAAGGAUUGCCUCUCCCUUCUAGGGAGGCUUAUUUAUCGUAAAUUGACGGACGAGAUAGCUUUGUCACCAACGCCUUCUCCCAUUUGUUUAAUCUACUUCCUAAGUUAUGAGCAUGACAUGCGUUAGACUUUUUGGACUUAUAUGCUUAGGACCACUGCUUUGGAUAACUAAAGACCAAAGAGAUGCUUCCUAUACCGGACAUUCAAAGACU
rnacentral:lncRNA from 1 species